rnacentral:rRNA from 1 species
CAGCAGCCGCCGCGGUAAAACGGAGGGUGCAAGCGUUAAUCGGAAUUACUGGGCGUAAAGCGCACGCAGGCGGUCUGUCAAGUCAGAUGUGAAAUCCCCGGGCUUAACCUGGGAACUGCAUUUGAAACUGGCAGGCUAGAGUCUUGUAGAGGGGGGUAGAAUUCCAGGUGUAGCGGUGAAAUGCGUAGAGAUCUGGAGGAAUACCGGUGGCGAAGGCGGCCCCCUGGACAAAGACUGACGCUCAGGUGCGAAAGCGUGGGGAGCAAACAGGAUUAGAUACCCCGGUAGUCCCUGUCUCUUAUAA